GAAGUAAAGCCAGAAAGCAGCAGGGAAGGCGAAGCAGGUGGAAGGCUGCCUCCUGAUGCGGUGCUGAAGCCCCCUCACUGACCUGCCGAGAGACCCGGUUUGCUUCUCUGGCGAACCCUGCGACGACGGGGUCUGCCUCGGAGCAUGGCCGAAGCGUGGUGCCCGAGGACCCGGGCGUUCCUAAGAGAGAGUGCUGAUACUUGUCUGAGACAACAGCCAGGUGAGAGAAGAACUUCCCAGACGGUGAGGUGGCUUUGUUUGGCCCCCGACCGGCCUCUCUCUGUGACUCACAUCUUCAGCCCUCUGAGAGAUAAGUGGGGCCCGCAGAGGGGAUCAAAGCGGGGUGGCGGGUCGGGACUGAGAUCGGUUUGGGUUUUUGAGUGAGCUUUGGGGAUGGGGAGGUUCUGGAAAUGACCCCAUAGGCCCCAGUGAGGGAAAGCCUCACUUUGGUUUGCAAUGCUGAGGCGAACAGGGCAGAGCAGUCCCAGGGUGUGUUGUCACUUGUCUCUUGUGCCUUCUGUGUCUUCUGUGCAUCUCGUGUAAUGUGCCUCUUGCCUUAGCCCUCUCCAGGGCUUAUGAGAAACCCCAGGUCCUUCCAUUCAUCUCCCAUCUUUGCGUUCCUCGGCCCGACGCCGGCGCAACUUUGAUUCGGGAGCUCUGACACGCGUCAGAAUCGCAUCUGUCUUCAGAAGCACGCGAUCGU
rnacentral:lncRNA from 1 species